rnacentral:rRNA from 1 species
UACGGAGGGUGCGAGCGUUGUCCGGAAUCAUUGGGCGUAAAGGCGCGUAGGUGGCCUGCUAAGCGUGCGGUGAAAGCUCGGGGCUCAACCCCGAGUCGGCCGUGCGAACUGGUGGGCUUGAGCACUGUAGAGGCAGGCGGAAUUCCGGUGUAGCGGUGGAAUGCGUAGAGAUCCGGAAGAACACCGGUGGCGAAGGCGGCCGUGCUGGGCAGUAGCUGACACUGAGGCGCGACAGCGUGGGAGCAACAGG